UGGGGAAUAUUGGACAAUGGGCGAAAGCCUGAUCCAGCAAUGCCGCGUGAGUGAUGAAGGCCUUAGGGUUGUAAAGCUCUUUUACCCGGGAUGAUAAUGACAGUACCGGGAGAAUAAGCACCGGCUAACUCCGUGCCAGCAGCCGCGGUAAUACGGAGGGUGCGAGCGUUGUUCGGAAUCACUGGGCGUAAAGCGCGUGUAGGCGGCCUGCUAAGUCUGAUGUGAAAGCCCGAGGCUCACCCUCGGAAGUGCAUUGGAAACUGGCAGACUGGAGUCCCGGAGAGGAGGGUGGAAUUCCUGGUGUGGCGGUGAAAUGCGUAGAUAUCAGGAGGAACACCGGUGGCGAAGGCGGCCCUCUGGACGGUGACUGACGCUGAGACGCGAAAGCGUGGGGAGCAAA
rnacentral:rRNA from 1 species